UACAGAGGUCCCAAGCGUUGUUCGGAUUCAUUGGGCGUAAAGGGUGCGUAGGCGGCGCGGUAAGUCGGGUGUGAAAUCUCGGAGCUUAACUCCGAAACUGCAUUCGAUACUGCCGUGCUUGAGGACUGGAGAGGAGACUGGAAUUUACGGUGUAGCGGUGAAAUGCGUAGAUAUCGUAAGGAAGACCAGUGGCGAAGGCAGCUCGCUGGGACGUUACUGACGCUGAGACGCGAAAGCGUGGGGAGCAAACAGG
rnacentral:rRNA from 1 species